rnacentral:rRNA from 2 species
CGUAACGACUCUCGGCAACGGAUAUCUCGGCUCUCGCAUCGAUGAAGAACGUAGCGAAAUGCGAUACUUGGUGUGAAUUGCAGAAUCCCGUGAACCAUCGAGUCUUUGAACGCAAGUUGCGCCCGAAGCCUUCCGGCCAAGGGCACGUCUGCCUGGGCGUCACGC